rnacentral:rRNA from 1 species
GUCUAUGGCCGUGCCACCCUGAACAAGCCCGAUUCCAUCUGCUCUCGGAAGCUAAGCAGGAUCUGGCCUGGUUAGUACUUGGAUGGGAGACCACCCAGGAAGACCAGGUGCUAUAGGCG